rnacentral:misc_RNA from 1 species
AACGCACAUUGCGCCCCUCGGUAUUCCGUGGGGCAUGCCUGUUCGAGCGUCAUUAACACCACUCAAGCUCUGCUUGGUCCUGGGGCGUGCUGCCUGCGGCACCCCCUAAAUCCAGUGGCGACGGCCUCGGGUCUCGAGCGUAGUACUUUCUUCGCUGCGAGUCCGGCGGUGGUCUGUCAGGUAGCGACCUGCUACACCCCAUAUACUAUGGUUGACCUCGGAUCAGGUAGGGAUACCCGCUGAACUUAA